CUGGCCGGGCGACGGUUGUCCCGGUUUAAGGAUGUAGGCAGGUGAAUUAGGCAAAUCCGGUUCACUAUAUGCUGAGGUCUGAUGACGAGUCACUACGGUGGCGAAGUAGCUUAUACCCCGCUUCCAGGAAAAGCCUCUAAGCUCUAGAUUAUCAUUAAUCGUACCCCAAACCGACACAGGUGGUCAGGUAGAGAAUACUCAGGCGCUUGAGAGAACUCGGGUG
rnacentral:rRNA from 1 species